AGUGAACGCUGGCGGUAUGCCUAAUACAUGCAAGUCGAACGAAAGCACAGGAAGAUUUUUCUCCUACCGUUAGCGACUGGCGGGCGGGUGACGAAUGCAUCAGCUUCCUCUUUUUCUGGGGGAACUACGGAAAGACACUUAUAAUACCACCUCAUAUGUUCUACCGCUGUAUUCAGUGGUGCUUCGGAGCUUUCGUGUCUCAUUUAGCUGAUGUCGGAUUAGCUAGUUGGCUGGGUAAAGGCCCACCAAGGCGACGAUCCGUAGCUGGGCUGAGAGGAUGAUCAGCCACACUGGAACUGAGACACGGUCCAGACUCCUACGGGAGGCAGCAGUGGGGAAUAUUGGACAAUGGGCGCAAGCCUGAUCCAGCCAUACCGCGUGGGUGAAGAAGGCCUUCGGGUUGUAAAGCCCUUUUGUUGGGAAAGAAAAGCAGCAGGUUAAUACACCGCUGUUCUGACGGUACCCAAAGAAUAAGCACCGGCUAACUUCGUG
rnacentral:rRNA from 1 species